CUUUCACAGACUUGAAGAAACUUGAGGAACAUGAAGCGACCAAAAGAGAUUUUUAGGGACGAGACUUGAGGAUUACAACCAAAGGAACAACAGCCAUAGAAAGGGUGUUCCGGAGGUGAGGCAGCUACCAUGGCACCCCGACCGUCGUCAGGGGAAUUAUGGGGUCUCCACCUGAUGCCACCGCGCAUCCUGGUGGACUGCUGCCUUCCCAACGGGAUGAUGGUGAGCCUGGAGUGUCUUCGAGAAACUCCUCUCAUCAGCAUCAAACAGCAGCUCUUCACAGAGGCCAGGAAGUAUCCCCU